UUUUCCAGUAUUAGGUGGGGGG
rnacentral:piRNA from 1 species